GAUGGUGCUUGCACCUGAUUGACGAUGGAUCACCAGUGAGUGGCGGACGGGUGAGUAACACGUAGGUAACCUGCCCCGGAGCGGGGGAUAACAUUUGGAAACAGAUGCUAAUACCGCAUAACAACAAAAGCCACAUGGCUUCUGUUUGAAAGAUGGCUUUGGCUAUCACUCUGGGAUGGACCUGCGGUGCAUUAGCUAGUUGGUAAGGUAACGGCUUACCAAGGCGAUGAUGCAUAGCCGAGUUGAGAGACUGAUCGGCCACAAUGGAACUGAGACACGGUCCAUACUCCUACGGGAGGCAGCAGUAGGGAAUCUUCCACAAUGGGCGCAAGCCUGAUGGAGCAACACCGCGUGAGUGAAGAAGGGUUUCGGCUCGUAAAGCUCUGUUGUUGGAGAAGAACGUGCGUGAGAGUAACUGUUCACGCAGUGACGGUAUCCAACCAGAAAGUCACGGCUAACUACGUGCCAGCAGCCGCGGUAAUACGUAGGUGGCAAGCGUUAUCCGGAUUUAUUGGGCGUAAAGCGAGCGCAGGCGGUUGCUUAGGUCUGAUGUGAAAGCCUUCGGCUUAACCGAAGAAGUGCAUCGGAAACUGGGCGACUUGAGUGCAGAAGAGGACAGUGGAACUCCAUGUGUAGCGGUGGAAUGCGUAGAUAUAUGGAAGAACACCAGUGGCGAAGGCGGCUGUCUGGUCUGCAACUGACGCUGAGGCUCGAAAGCAUGGGUAGCGAACCGGAUUAGAUACCCUGGUAGUCCAUGCCGUAAACGAUGAGUGCUAGGUGUUGGAGGGUUUCCGCCCUUCAGUGCCGGAGCUAACGCAUUAAGCACUCCGCCUGGGGAGUACGACCGCAAGGUUGAAACUCAAAGGAAUUGACGGGGGCCCGCACAAGCGGUGGAGCAUGUGGUUUAAUUCGAAGCUACGCGAAGAACCUUACCAGGUCUUGACAUCUUGCGCUAACCUUAGAGAUAAGGCGUUCCCUUCGGGGACGCAAUGACAGGUGGUGCAUGGUCGUCGUCAGCUCGUGUCGUGAGAUGUUGGGUUAAGUCCCGCAACGAGCGCAACCCUUGUUACUAGUUGCCAGCAUUAAGUUGGGCACUCUAGUGAGCCUGCCGGUGACAAACCGGAGGAAGGUGGGAACGACGUCAGAUCAUCAUGCCCCUUAUGACCUGGGCUACACACGUGCUACAAUGGACGGUACAACGAGUCGCAAGCUCGCGAGAGUAAGCUAAUCUCUUAAAGCCGUUCUCAGUUCGGACUGUAGGCUGCAACUCGCCUACACGAAGUCGGAAUCGCUAGUAAUCGCGGAUCAGCAUGCCGCGGUGAAUACGUUCCCGGGCCUUGUACACACCGCCCGUCACACCAUGGGAGUUUGUAACGCCCAAAGUCGGUGGCCUAACCUUUAUGGAGGGAGCCGCCUUACUUCUUAC
rnacentral:rRNA from 2 species